rnacentral:rRNA from 1 species
GCGGUGGAGUAUGUGGUUAAUUCGAUGCAACGCGAAGAACCUUACCUGGUCUUGACAUCCCGGAGACCCUUAGGAAACUAGGGGGUGCUUCCAUCUGGAAGAAUCUGGAGACAGGUGCUGCAUGGCUGUCGUCAGCUCGUGUCGUGAGAUGUUGGGUUAAGUCCCGCAACGAGCGCAACCCUUGCCUUUAGUUGCCAGCAGUUCGGCUGGGCACUCUAAAGGGACUGCCGGUGUUAAACCGGAGGAAGUGGGGAUGACGUCAAGUCCUCAUGGCCUUUAUGACCAGGGCUACACACGUACUACAAUGGCCGAUACAAAGGGCAGCGACACUGCGAGGUGAAGCCAAUCCCGUAAAAUCGGUCUCAGUCCGGAUUGGAGUCUGCAACUCGACUCCAUGAAGUUGGAAUCGCUAGUAAUCGUGGAUCAGCAUGCCACGGUGAAUACGUUCCCGGGCCUU